AUUGAACGCUGGCGGCAGGCCUAACACAUGCAAGUCGAGCGAGCGGCGGCCGGGUGAGUAAUGUAUGGGGAUCUGCCCGAUAGAGGGGGAUAACUACUGGAAACGGUGGCUAAUACCGCAUACUAUCGGAUGAACCCAUAUUGGAUUAGCUAGUAGGUGGGGUAAAGGCUCACCUAGGCGACGAUCUCUAGCUGGUCUGAGAGGAUGAUCAGCCACACUGGGACUGAGACACGGCCCAGACUCCUACGGGAGGCAGCAGUGGGGAAUAUUGUACAAUGGGGGAAAGCCUGAUCCAGACAUGCUGCGUGUAUGAAGAAGGCCUUCGGGUUGUAAAGUACUUUCGGCGGAGAAGCGUUAUCUGCAGAAGAAGCACCGGCUAACUCCGUGCGAGCAGCCGCGGUAAUAC
rnacentral:rRNA from 1 species